rnacentral:rRNA from 1 species
UACGUAGGGGGCGAGCGUUGUCCGGAAUUAUUGGGCGUAAAGAGCGUGUAGGCGGUUCGGUAAGUCUGCCGUGAAAACCUGGGGCUCAACCCCGGGCGUGCGGUGGAUACUGCCGGGCUAGAGGGUGGUAGAGGCGAGUGGAAUUCCCGGUGUAGCGGUGAAAUGUGUAGAGAUCGGGAGGAACACCAGUGGCGAAGGCGGCUCACUGGUCCAUUACUGACGCUGAGGUGCGAAAGCGUGGGGAGCAAACAGG